rnacentral:rRNA from 1 species
UCGGGAAUUUUGGGCAAUGGGCGCAAGCCUGACGGAGCGACACCGCGUGCAGGAUGAAGGCCUUCGGGUUGUAAACUGCUGUCACGCUUUCGGAAUGCCCGGAUGUAAAUAGCAUCCGGAUUGACCAGGGCGAAAGGAAGCACCGGCUAACUCUGUGCCAGCAGCCGCGGUAAGACAGAGGGUGCAAACGUUGUUCGGAAUUACUGGGCAUAAAGAGCACGUAGGUGGUCUGCUAAGUCGUGUGUGAAAUCCCCCGGCUCAACCGGGGAAUAGCGCUCGAUACUGGCAGGCUCGAGGUGGGUAGGGGUGAGCGGAACUCCAGGUGGAGCGGUGAAAUGCGUAGAUAUCUGGAGGAACACCGGUGGCGAAAGCGGCUCACUGGACCCAAUCUGACACUGAGGUGCGAAAGCUAGGGCAGCAAACGGGAUUAGAUACCCAUGUAGUCCCUGAGCGGGCUGGCAAGGCGCAU